CAGUAGCCGCGGUAAUACGAAGGGGGCUAGCGUUGUUCGGAAUUGCUGGGCGUAAAGCGCACGUAGGCGGAUAUUUAAGUCAGGUGUGAAAUCCCAGAGCUCAACUCUGGAACUGCCUUUGAUACUGGGUAUCUUGAGUAUGGAAGAGGUGAGUGGAAUUCCGAGUGUAGAGGUGAAAUUCGUAGAUAUUCGGAGGAACACCAGUGGCGAAGGCGGCUCACUGGUCCAUUACUGACGCUGUGGUGCGAAAGCGUGGGGAGCAAACAGGAUUAGAUACCCCCGUAGUCCCUGUCUCUUAUAC
rnacentral:rRNA from 1 species